rnacentral:rRNA from 1 species
GAAUCUUGCACAAUGGGGGAAACCCUGAUGCAGCGACGCCGCGUGAGCGAUGAAGCCCUUCGGGGUGUAAAGCUCUUUCAGCGGGAACGAUAAUGACGGUACCCGCAGAAGAAGCUGCGGCUAACUACGUGCCAGCAGCCGCGGUAAUACGUAGGCAGCAAGCGUUGUUCGGAGUUACUGGGCGUAAAGAGUGUGUAGGCGGUUUGGUAAGUUCGGUGUGAAAUCUCCCGGCUCAACUGGGAGGGUGCGCCGGAUACUGCCGUGCUUGAGCAUGGGAGAGGAAAGCGGAAUUCCUGGUGUAGCGGUGAAAUGCGUAGAUAUCAGGAGGAACACCUGCGGUGUAGACGGCUUUCUGGACCAUUGCUGACGCUGAGACACGAAAGCGUGGGGAGCAAACAGG